AUGGAAAAUGCAGUGGCAUCUCAUCAAGAAUCACAGCCAGGAAGCUAGAGUCAGAAGAAAGGCUGAACUCCAACAAGUUUCUUUUUUUUUUCUCCUUCCACAAUCCAGUAAGCCCAUUCUCUAAUGGUUGUUUUAUUUUUUGUCUUGGUAAUUGGCAAAAGGAACAAAAAGACCUUUGGUGACUUGUUUUUUUUCUUGAAGAAUAUAACUUCACAUUAUAUCAGAGGUCUCUAGCUUUGUGAACCCUACCAAAAGUGGAUCAUGCCUCUAGGUGAAGAAAUACUAAAGAUCAUCACCUGCUAGAGAAAAGCACAAAAGAAGCUUAACAGGAACACCCUCUACUGCCUAUAACACAUAUGGACCUGUUUUGAGAAAAACAAACAUACAUAUGAGUCAACUAACAGAAUGAUGGCAGAUUCAGACUAGAAGACCUGAAGAAAGGUAUUCACCAAUCACCAGGAUCUGUGCCUACCGCAAGUUUAAGGAACUCUCAGCCUUCCUGGAGAGAUGACACUUGCUUGAACCAGAGGCAUUGAUUAGCGACAUUUGGAGAAGAGAGCAUGCCACAUUUUGGGAGCAGCAUGAAUUGAACCAAACCAAAGAGAUCAGCUGACCUGAAGUUGACCAUUGGCUGUAGCUUCUGGUACCUUGUACCCCUGCCAGAUGUUUCCAUAAUAACAUCAACUUCCAUUUCCCACCAGCUUUUGCACCUGCCUGCCAUUUCCUGAAUGCCAGUGUGACUAAUGAGUGCCAGAGGCAGCAGAUGGGAAGGGGUUGUACCUCCCAGUCCCCUCCAGUUAAGCUCCAAGAGCUUUGAUUUCAGGGACUUCUCAACACUCAAGGAGUAGAAAGAAAUGGAGAAAGGAACUUUAAGCCAAGAGUAAUGUUUCCUCUCACGAUGAUUGAAAUGUGGAAUGUGUUCAAGAUGAGAAAGUGGGAGUCAGGAGGAGAUGAGUGACUUAUCUAAUACCAGAGUUGAUUAGAUAUGAAGCCAACAUUAGCAGCAAGGCUUCCUGACUCCUGGUGCAGUGUUAUUUCUGCUACAUCAUUUCCCA